rnacentral:rRNA from 1 species
UAAAGCGAUUCAGCGGGUUACGAUUGACGGAGCGAAGCGACGUCAAAGCGUAUACAAAGUCGAGUCGGUUUAAGGAUACGUUCGUUGGGUAGGGGAGCGUUCUGUAAGCCUGUGAAGGUGGCCUGUGAGGGUUGCUGGAGGUAUCAGAAGUGCGAAUGCUGACAUAAGUAACGAUAAAGCGGGUGAAAAGCCCGCUCGCCGGAAGACCAAGGGUUCCUGUCCAACGUUAAUCGGGGCAGGGUGAGUCGACCCCUAAGGCGAGGCCGAAAGGCGUAGUCGAUGGGAAACGGGUUAAUAUUCCCGUACUUGGUGUUACUGCGAAGGGGGGACGGAGAAGGCUAUGUUGGCCGGGCGACGGUUGUCCCGGUUUAAGCGUGUAGGUGUGUGUUCCAGGUAAAUCCGGUUCACUUUAACACUGAGGCGUGAUGACGAGGCACUACGGUGCUGAAGCAACAAAUGCCCUGCUUCCAGGAAAAGCCUCUAAGCAUCAGGUAACAUCAAAUCGUACCCCAAACCGACACAGGUGGUCAGGUAGAGAAUACCAAGGCGCUUGAGAGAACUCGGGUGAAGGAACUAGGCAAAAUGGUGCCGUAACUUCGGGAGAAGGCACGCUGACACGUAGGUGAAGUGAUUUACUCAUGGAGCUGAAGUCAGUCGAAGAUACCAGCUGGCUGCAACUGUUUAUUAAAAACACAGCACUGUGCAAACACGAAAGUGGACGUAUACGGUGUGACGCCUGCCCGGUGCCGGAAGGUUAAUUGAUGGGGUCAGCGCAAGCGAAGCUCCUGAUCGAAGCCCCGGUAAACGGCGGCCGUAACUAUAACGGUCCUAAGGUAGCGAAAUUCCUUGUCGGGUAAGUUCCGACCUGCACGAAUGGCGUAAUGAUGGCCAGGCUGUCUCCACCCGAGACUCAGUGAAAUUGAACUCGCUGUGAAGAUGCAGUGUACCCGCGGCAAGACGGAAAGACCCCGUGAACCUUUACUAUAGCUUGACACUGAACAUUGAGCCUUGAUGUGUAGGAUAGGUGGGAGGCUUUGAAGUGUGGACGCCAGUCUGCAUGGAGCCGACCUUGAAAUACCACCCUUUAAUGUUU